GGCCAUACAUAUCUCAGAGGUAGAGCAUCUGCCUUGCAUGCAGAAUGUCCCAGGUUCAAUUCCCAACAGCAUCU